UUGUUUCAGGGAAUUUUCUAUCUUCAUUCUUCCUUUUGGGAGAAACAUGUUUCUCUUUACAUUUUUUUUUACUUUUUGACCAGUAAUUCAGGAUAGAUGACACAAGAUAAACUCAAUGCAGAAAAUCAAAUCCCCAAAAAUUCAAAAACAAAGGGUUGAUAAUUUAAAAGGUGAUCAGCCCUUAUUCAGUCUUUAUAUCACCAUCAACUGAUGGUUCAUAAGAUGCACCUUCAAUCUGUUUCAGAAAACUGGUUGAUCGUUGGUUGAGCUAAUCUUUCAUGUUAGAGAAACUCAGGACUCACUUGGGAGCAAUUUACCAAUUCAGGACAAAUUUAGAGAAAAAUAUAAUAUAAAUAAAUUUAAAUAUGAUUGACAUUAUGACAACUUCAAGACUUGUGCAUGUUAAAACUUACACAAUGAACUUAUGCUAUUUUGGAAGUUGACAAU